ACGUAGGGGGCGAGCGUUGUCCGAAGUUACUGGGCGUAAAGCGCGCGUAGGCGGUUUCUUAAGUCUGGGGUGAAAGGUUCAACGCUCAACGUGAACAGUGCCUUGGAUACUGGGAGACUUGAGUUAGGGAGAGGGUAGUGGAAUUCCUGGUGUAGCGGUGAAAUGCGUAGAUAUCAGGAGGAACACCAAUGGCGAAGGCAGCUACCUGGCCUAUAACUGACGCUGAGGUGCGAAAGCGUGGGGAGCAAACGGGAUUAGAUACCCCGGUAGUCCACGCCCUAAACGAUGAGUGCUAGAUGUAAGAGGUAUCGACCCCUCUUGUGUCGUCGCUAACGCAUUAAGCACUCCGCCUGGGGAGUACGGCCGCAAGGUUG
rnacentral:rRNA from 1 species